rnacentral:rRNA from 1 species
UACGUAGGUUGCAAGCGUUAUUCGGAAUUACUGGGCGUAAAGCGUGCGCAGGCGGUUGUUCAAGUCAGACGUGAAAUCCCCGGGCUCAACCUGGGAACUGCAUUUGUGACUGCACGGCUCGAGUGCGGCAGAGGGGGAUGGAAUUCCGCGUGUAGCAGUGAAAUGCGUAGAUAUGCGGAGGAACACCGAUGGCGAAGGCAAUCCCCUGGGCCUGCACUGGCGCUCAUGCACGAAAGCGUGGGGAGCAAACAGG